GUGAGUAAGGAAAAAACUCCUGAACGGAGAGCACAACGCGUUCCGGAGAUGUAACAGAAAGACUUGAGGAAACGAAAAAAACACACACGAAAAGGGGAGAAUAGAUCCAGACCGUUACGACGCCGUGGGACUGCGACCGUGGCGCGACAGUAGGGUAAGUAACUCACAACAGCAGAAAAGUAAAACAGGACGAACCAGCCGACCGGAGCAGACCCCAGAAUGGACCGCAUACGAACGAAAACAGCGGGGCAACAGUAGGCCAGGUAAGACGCACCACGAGGAACCUGGCAGGAAGAGAUGGCGACCAGAC